UGUAGAUCUUUAAUGUUAUCAAGAAUAAGCGAUCUUUAUCAUAUUGACAGUUAUAUAUGCAUAUUUCAAAAAAUAAUUGGGAUAUUUUUAUACAAAAUUUAAAGAAAACAUUUACAAAUAUAAUGUUAAAAAACAUUAUGAUUUAUAUCUCAAAAAUAAGUUUAUAUAUAGAGGCCAAAAUGGGAUAUGAAAAAGUUUGUAUCUCAAAGUUUGUAUAUAGAGCAGUUUGUAAAUCAAGGCACUACUGUUUAGCAAUCUGUGAUGAUUAUGAUUGACAAUUUGUGCAUUUUGUGGUGGUUCUGAUCAUUUAGAAAUUAUGUAAUGAUUAUUUUGCAGCUGAUUUCAGACAGAUUUGCACAUCUGAUGAUUGCUUGCAUCUGGUUGGCUUUCCACUCUUGUCAAUUCCAGCAAAAUUUCCAUUGUCUAUUUUGAUUCUAAUUUUAUCAUCAUUUAAACUUUAUUAAAUAUUUUUCAUUAAGACUUUGAAAUAAUAGAAAGUUAAAAUAUUUUUAUUUGAUAUUUUCUGUUGAACAAACAUUUCUAUAAAAUUGUAUUGUAGAGAAAUAUGAUACAACAUGAAAUGAUGAUCAUAUUCUAACUUAUAAAUAAAAGCACUCACAGAGGUAUAACAAGGGCUUUAAUAUAGAGGUGAACAGGCAUUUUUGGUGCAGUGCACCGUCAUCAGGUUCUGAUGGUGGCAAAUUGCACCAAAGGUGUUUGUUCAUUUCUGUAUUGGGGUUUUUCCUAUAUUGCUGUAAGUUCUCUUAUUUUAUUUAGAAGUUAAAGUAAGGUGGAUAGCAAUAGUUAAAGUAAAACAAGUAUGAACUCUUCGUUAUCUUGGGUUGAUGAGUUGAAACAACUAUAUAUCUUCCUAGUGUGUCUCAGACCUGUUCAAUAGAGUUAAGGUCAGAUCUGGUUAGCCAAUUCAUAUGAAUGAUGAAUAGUGUUUGUAUGCAUUGGCAAUCCAAACAACAACAUUCCCUUUAUCUUUUAGGCAUAAGAAUAAAAUCUUCGACUCAAUUGUUUAACCAAUAUCAAGCGUAAUUGGGGAGAUUAAUUUAUCUUACAGGAUAAUAAUGCUUGAUCACACUGAACCAAAUUGGUACAGCAAUACCAAUUUGGAUCAGUGUGGUCAAGCAUAAUGUUGAAUAACUGUAUUGUAAUACUGCUGAAGAUAAAGGAGAGAAUUUGAUGGUAUUAUUGCACAAGAGCAUAAACAUGGCUACACAUAACUGUAUAUAUAAAAUAUAUACUGCUAUGCGAGAAUAGCUAAUAAAACACCAGCUAAGCAUGACUCCCAGGAAACUUCUAUGCAUGUUCAUACUACUUAUGAACCAACACUUUUUAAGAAUUAUGAAGAAUGAAAAAAACAAGGAUAAACAAUCUUUAAACGUCAGUCUGCUGUCUUUGUGAAGAUUAUUAGAGAGAAUUCAAAUGCUUUAGUAGUGAAUCAGGUGUUUAUAUAAUACCAGCACUUAAUAGAAACUCCAACUAUAUGGAAGAAUAUAUUGCUAAAACAAUCUAGCUUAUUAAAAUAAAGAUUGCGUGAACAUAAGCAUGAUAUAUUUGAAUAGGUUACUUCAUUAUCGCAUGUGCAAAAAGGUCUUAUGAAGUAGAUUUAGAUAUAAAAUGAUAGGAAGCAAAAAUUGUAAAGCAGGUUGCCUACCUUAAGAAAGCAUAUUGCUCAGAAGGAUUAUUGACAGAAAGGAGGAGACAUCUAGACAAUAAUUAUAAAUGAUAUUCUAAAAGCUAUUCUGUUGUCAUAGCAGUGAUGCAUAAUAAAGUUCAUGUUUAUAUGGAAGUUUUGAACAUUAUUAUAAAUAUGUUUUUUUAAUAGUUUUUGGCCACUUCAGAAACCAAAAUAACACAACUGCUUAAACUUAACUUCAAAAAAAUUCUAAAAUAAGUAUUAAAGCAGUUCUUUAAUCUUUUCAAUGCAC
rnacentral:lncRNA from 1 species